GAUGAACGCUAGCUACAGGCUAAACACAUGCAAGUCGAGGGGAAACGGCAUUUAGUGCCUGCACCGAAUGGACGUCGACCGGCGCACGGGUGAGUAACGCGUAUCCAACCUUCCCACAACUAAGGGAUAACCUGCCGAAAGGCAGACUAAUACCUUAUAUAAUCCUUUGAUGGCAUCAGAUAAGGAUAAAAGAUUUAUCGGUUAUGGAUGGGGAUGCGUCUGAUUAGCUUGUUGGCGGGGUAACGGCCCACCAAGGCAACGAUCAGUAGGGGUUCUGAGAGGAAGGUCCCCCACAUUGGAACUGAGACACGGUCCUAACUCCUACGGGAGGCAGCAGUGAGGAAUAUUGGUCAAUGGACGGAAGUCUGAACCAGCCAAGUAGCGUGCAGUAUGACGGCCCUAUGGGUUGUAAACUGCUUUUGUAUGGGGAUAAAGUCAAUCACGUGUGAUUGUUUGCAGGUACCAUACGAAUAAGGACCG
rnacentral:rRNA from 1 species